rnacentral:rRNA from 1 species
UACGUAGGGGGCGAGCGUUGUCCGGAAUUACUGGGCGUAAAGAGCGCGUAGGCGGCUGGAUAAGUCGGCUGUGAAAGACGUGGGCUCAACUCACGGAUUGCGGUUGAUACUGUCUGGCUAGAGUGCGGGAGAGGGAAGUGGAAUUCCCGGUGUAGCAGUGAAAUGCGUAGAGAUCAGGAGGAACACCGAUGGCGAAGGCAGCCCCCUGGGCCUGUACUGACGCUCAUGCACGAAAGCGUGGGGAGCAAACAGG